AAUUAUGUAUACAAUAAAAAUGAUACACACAAAUUCAGCAAAGUGAACAACAAGCUCUAACGCUUAAGUGAAGGAAUCCCUUAACCUCCACAACGUAAAACAUGCAAAACAAACAAAGUAUAAGCGGAGCUCUGUAUUACCUGUAUAAACAAUGGUAUAUUGAAGAUGAAUAUAAUAUUAUUCAAAAUAAGAAUCUGUAAAUAAAUGAUCACAGAUCUAAGUGCAGACAAUAG